UUGGCUCUGGAGAGGUAUCAAAAAUACUGGUAUUAACUAGCAGAUAACUGAGUUAUACAAACACUGAAUAAAAGAUUCAGUCAAAAGUUUUAAAAGGUUUAUUAACUUCACUCCAAGCCCUUCCCCCCCACCUCCCAAUUGGGGCCUAAAGUACUCUGUAAAUUAAAACUAUUUUACAUUUACUGUGGCGUUAAUUUGACCGAGUCUCCUCUAAUGUUUGGGAUAAAACUGUCUCUUCUCUCUUUGCAUUUUGUGCAGAGGACAGGAGUUUUGCUCCACCGUCUCGUUAGGCUCACGAGUGGCAGUUUGAGAGAGUGGCACAGUAAAGCCAUGACUUGCUGACUAAAACAGGUCAAUGAAAAACAGGCUAGUGACUGAAAUUGAAACUUCUCAUUUCUCUCAAGAAAAGGGUGUAUUGUCAAGAUAGAGUCAAGCAUUGUCUGUUAAGCAACUUUGAGAGCAGCAGCGCUCAGCACGGCGAGCUCCCCGGCGCGAGAGGAGGGGACAGGGCCCCUGGCACAUCCCCAGCGCCCGGCCAGGCCCCGCCGGGACAGACGCCGUCCUCUCCACGCCAGAGCCCAGCCAGCUGCCAGGAAGGAGCACUAAAGAACACGGUGUGCAGAGGGCAGGGGAUGUGCUGGGCUCCCCUCCCAGGCUGAAGCUGUCUGUCCAGCCAAACAGGUCACGAUCCAGGUCUCAGUGACAUCCAGCCAUACGGCAUGGAGGACUCCAGAGUCCUCUCCCCCAUCACCUCCCAAGGCCCAUCUGGAGGAAUCACAAAGGGUGUUCUCACAUCCUGCUCCCUGAAGAAGCCGGUCCUGCUUGCUGAGUGCUGCCAACGUCACGCCAAGCGAUGACGCAAGCCACGACUGUUGUCCAGGUGACUGGUGACAAGAUUUCUAAAACAACAGGCUAUAGCCGUGCCAUGACAUGUAUCAAUAAAGCUGGAGCUUUG